rnacentral:rRNA from 1 species
AGAGUUUGAUCCUGGCUCAGGAUGAACGCUAGCUACAGGCUUAACACAUGCAAGUCGAGGGGAAACGAUAUUGGAAGCUUGCUUCCGAUAGGCGUCGACCGGCGCACGGGUGAGUAACGCGUAUCCAACCUGCCCACCACUUGGGAAUAACCUUGCGAAAGUAAGACUAAUGCCCAAUGACAUUUAUAGAAGGCAUCUGAAAUGAAUUAAAGAUUUAUCGGUGAUGGAUGGGGAUGCGUCUGAUUAGCUUGUUGGCGGGGUAACGGCCCACCAAGGCGACGAUCAGUAGGGGUUCUGAGAGGAAGGUCCCCCACAUUGGAACUGAGACACGGUCCAAACUCCUACGGGAGGCAGCAGUGAGGAAUAUUGGUCAAUGGGCGAGAGCCUGAACCAGCCAAGUAGCGUGCAGGAUGACGGCCCUAUGGGUUGUAAACUGCUUUUAUAGGGGAAUAAAGUGAGCCACGUGUGGUUUUUUGCAUGUACCCUAUGAAUAAGGACCGGCUAAUUCCGUGCCAGCAGCCGCGGUAAUACGGAAGGUCCGGGCGUUAUCCGGAUUUAUUGGGUUUAAAGGGAGCGUAGGCCGGAGAUUAAGCGUAUUGUGAAAUGUAGAUGCUCAACAUCUGCACUGCAGCGCGAACUGGUUUCCUUGAGUACGCAUAAAGUGGGCGGAAUUCGUGGUGUAGCGGUGAAAUGCUUAGAUAUCACGAAGAACUCCGAUUGCGAAGGCAGCUCACUGGGGCGCAACUGACGCUGAAGCUCGAAAGCAUGGGUAGCAAACAGGAUUAGAUACCCUGGUAGUCCAUGCCGUAAACGAUGAGUGCUAGGUGUUGGAGGGUUUCCGCCCUUCAGUGCCGCAGCUAACGCAUUAAGCACUCCGCCUGGGGAGUACGACCGCAAGGUUGAAACUCAAAGGAAUUGACGGGGGCCCGCACAAGCGGUGGAGCAUGUGGUUUAAUUCGAAGCAACGCGAAGAACCUUACCAGGUCUUGACAUCCUUUGACCACUCUAGAGAUAGAGCUUUCCCUUCGGGGACAAAGUGACAGGUGGUGCAUGGUUGUCGUCAGCUCGUGUCGUGAGAUGUUGGGUUAAGUCCCGCAACGAGCGCAACCCUUAUUACUAGUUGCCAGCAUUUAGUUGGGCACUCUAGUGAGACUGCCGGUGACAAACCGGAGGAAGGUGGGGACGACGUCAAAUCAUCAUGCCCCUUAUGACCUGGGCUACACACGUGCUACAAUGGAUGGUACAACGAGUCGCGAGACCGCGAGGUUUAGCUAAUCUCUUAAAACCAUUCUCAGUUCGGAUUGUAGGCUGCAACUCGCCUACAUGAAGCCGGAAUCGCUAGUAAUCGCGGAUCAGCAUGCCGCGGUGAAUACGUUCCCGGGCCUUGUACACACCGCCCGUCACACCAUGAGAGUUUGUAACACCCAAAGCCGGUGAGGUAACCUUCGGGAGCCAGCCGUCUAAGGUGGGACAGAUGAUUAGGGUGAAGUCGUAACAAGGUA